UGGCGGCCGGCGCACGGGUGAGUAACACGUAUCCAACCUGCCGAUGACUCGGGGAUAGCCUUUCGAAAGAAAGAUUAAUACCCGAUGGCAUAGUUCUUCUGCAUGGUGGAACUAUUAAAGAAUUUCGGUCAUCGAUGGGGAUGCGUUCCAUUAGGUUGUUGGCGGGUAACGGCCCACCAAGCCUUCGAUGGAUAGGGGUUCUGAGAGGAAGGUCCCCCACAUUGGAACUGAGACACGGUCCAA
rnacentral:rRNA from 1 species